rnacentral:rRNA from 1 species
UACGUAGGGUGCGAGCGUUGUCCGGAAUUAUUGGGCGUAAAGGGCUCGUAGGCGGUCUGUUGCGUCGGGAGUGAAAACUCAGGGCUUAACCCUGAGCCUGCUUCCGAUACGGGCAGACUAGAGGUAUGCAGGGGAGAACGGAAUUCCUGGUGUAGCGGUGAAAUGCGCAGAUAUCAGGAGGAACACCGGUGGCGAAGGCGGUUCUCUGGGCAUGACCUGACGCUGAGGAGCGAAAGUGUGGGGAGCGAACAGG